rnacentral:RNase_P_RNA from 1 species
GCGUCCAUUUGGGCGAGGAAAGUCCGAGCUCCACAGGGCAGUGUGCCGGAUAACGUCCGGCGAGGGCAACCUUAGGGACAGUGCCAUAGAAAUUUAAACCGCCGAUCAGAUCGGUAAGGGUGGAAAGGUGCGGUAAGAGCGCACCAGCGGUCGGGUGACCGGCCGGCUUGGGUAAACCCCACACGGAGCAAGACCAAAUAGGGAAGGGCUAAGACGGCCCGUCGACCUUCCGGGUAGUGUCGCUAGAGGCGUUCGGCAACGGGCGUCCCAGAUAAAUGAUUGUCGCCGCCCUUUGGGCGGAACAGAACUCGGCUUAUUGGUU